AAAAAUAACCAAGAAUUUAAACUAAGAAUAAAAAACAUCAAUUAUACAAUGUUGCUCAAACUAAAUUGACUAGGAAAAACAGACUUGGUUGCACACGGUUUUGAAAAAGCAAUAAAUUGUUUAAACUACUAAUCCUAACGAAAAGACGUCACAUUUAUUUUUCCAGAUUUGGUUUAAAAACUGUUUUAAUAGUUGCGGAGAUGAUUGUUUCAAUGAACAUAAAAAGUAGAUCUAGUUUGUUUUACUUGGUUUGAUAUUUAUGCGACUUAAAUGAGUACAUAAAUUAAAUGAAUGCAUAAAUUAUAUGACUGCAUAAACUAUACGACUAUACUGAUUGUACAGUUGCAUAUAUUAUAUAUGCAAUAAAUUAUAUGAACUUAUAUAACUAUAAAGUUAUAUAAGUUAUAUUUGUGUUAAUAAGUGUGAUAAGUAUGUAAAAAAUAAUGUUUUAUAACUAAUAUAUUUUGGUUAAUGCAAAAGAAUUCAAAGACGCUCUGGACGCACUGGAGAGUAAAGUGAGAAUUGAAUAUGAAUAAAAAAUAAAUAAUGAUGCAGCAGAUUUUAAUAAAAAGAUACAAUCAUUAGUAAUAACAGUUGCUGAUUUAACUAUUAUUGUUCCUGCUCCGAAUGGUGCUUGGAAUAUUGUAACUGGUAUAAAAUUGAAUAAAGCUCAAUCUCAAUCAAAAAAAGAAAUGUUUUUUAAUUUUUAUUCAAUAUUCAAAAAAAUUUUGCUUUGGAGUCGGAGUCGUUCUCAAAAAAUUUCAGCGAAUAAAAAGUUUCAGAGAAAAGUUAUGUUCCAACUUGCUGAAAUUAAAAACAUUUUAGUAAAUAAAACUGCACAGUUCUCUAAUGAUCCAGAAGGUAAAACAGUUAUCAUUAAUUGGCGGUAAAAAUUCAGUUGAUACUAUUAUAAAUAUAUUUCUCUUGUAAGUAAUUAGUUUGAAUUUUAACAUUUAUGUUUGACAGCAUGACAUCUUUUUUAUAUGUAGACUGACAACAGACACUAUUUUCAGAAUGCAGCAUGAAUGGUCUAAAGAAGAAAAUAAAGUUUAAAAAGUUGACAAGUCUAUGUACCGCUAUCGCUGAUGCUACUUCAAAGUCAAAUAAAAGCUUAUUCAAAAUGGAUCUCAUGCAACUUAUUGGAAGAUUAAUUAGGCAUUCUUCUGGCCGAUUCAAGAGAAAAUCCACCAAUAUCGAUAUUGAUCAACGACGGCUUAAUUAACUUCAAUCAACUGUUGUGUUUUUUAUUUAUUUUGCAUUUUUCAGUAAUUUUCUUUUUACUUAUAAUAUACUAUCGAUUAUACU